UGGAACAGCUCGGUCGGUAGAGCAUGAGACUCUUAAUCUCAGGGUUGUGGGUUCGAGCCCUACAUUGGGCAAAA
rnacentral:tRNA from 1 species